ACGUGGGUUACCUACCUCAUAGUGGGGGAUAACAGUCGGAAACGACUGCUAAUACCGCAUAGGACAUGGGAUCACAUGAUUCUGUGAGGAAAGGUGGCGCAAGCUAUCGCUAAGAGAUGGACCCGCGGUGCAUUAGCUAGUUGGUAGGGUAAGGGCCUACCAAGGCGAUGAUGCAUAGCCGACCUGAGAGGGUGAUCGGCCACAUUGGGACUGAGACACGGCCCAAACUCCUACGGGAGGCAGCAGUAGGGAAUCUUCCGCAAUGGACGCAAGUCUGACGGAGCAACGCCGCGUGAGUGAAGAAGGUCUUCGGAUCGUAAAGCUCUGUUGUUAGAGAAGAACAGCGCAUAGAGUAACUGUUAUGCGUGUGA
rnacentral:rRNA from 1 species